AUGUAUCUUCGAGAGUGGUUUCAGUGAAGGGCUCAAAACCAGAGCUGAUCAUGUCUGUUCAAGAUAUCAACAUCCAGUCACAAUCUUUAAUUAAUGUCAGGGACUCUAACAAGGUAUCGUUCUAAGUUGUAAAUGAUGUGGUGGUCAUCUUGUUGGAUAUUUGCUGGACAAUAUGUAUCUUCGGUAUUGUAAUCAACAUCCAGGUUUGAUUACAUAUGGCUCUCCUGAGCAGGUUUGAUUUAUAUUUUUUUUAGACUGAAAGGGUCGGUUGCAGAUGUGAUAGGGCUAAGAGUCGAGGCUUUGUGCUCCUCUACUUUGAACGGCUAAACCCUUACAAUGUUUUGACUUUGGUGAAAAAGAACAACUGGACACACAUUUCUGAAUCUUCUUCAGUGGCUAAAAUGGUGAAAGAGUGCAGGCUGCAUAUAGAUGGUCCUCUCUCUCUCUGAUUUCCUAAAAUGGUGAAAGAGUGCAACAGAGUCAUUUCACUUUUAUAUAGCCUGCUCAUUUCAACAGUAACACACUUUAUAGCCACAUUAACACACUUUAUAGCCUGCUCUUCCCUUUUCUUUUAAAAACCGGUCAAACAAAUAACCCUCAAACAAACCAUUUUAACCCUUCAGGUGUCAUGCAUUUACACAUUAAACCCUUACUCUCUCUCACUUCCUUAUAAGAAGCACCUCCCCACAUUAACUCACUUUUACUCUUCCUCCACCUCCAUAAUUUGAGUCGAAACUCCCACUACACACACACACACACAAGUUCAAGCUGAAGCAAGUUAAGGUAGCUUGAACCUGUUUGAAACUGAAGCAAGUUAAGCUACAAGAUCAAGUUCCAAGUCCAAGUUCAGGCUCUUUAUUUUCUCUCAAAUCCUUCUCCUUGCUUGCUAAGGUGAAGCAUCCUCCUAAAACUCCCUUUUCUUUAAGUUUAGUGUAAAAAAUGUAGUAUAUUCUCAUAACUAAUUAACUGUAUUAGAAACGGUUAUGUUGGACAGUUAUAAGUUUUCUUGUUUUACCUUUUUAAUCAGUCUUGCAAGUUCAAAUUUGUAUUAAUUGUACAUGUCAUAGAUUGUGUUGUGUAUUUGUGGACGGUAAUAUUGGAAUGAAGCUACUAUAUAGCCUGCUGUUAUACU
rnacentral:lncRNA from 1 species